AUACGGAGGGUGCAAGCGUUACUCGGAAUCACUGGGCGUAAAGCGCGCGCAGGCGGCUUGAUAAGUUGGAUGUGAAAGCCUACGGCUCAACCGUAGAAUUGCAUCCAAAACUGUCAGGCUAGAGUGUGGGAGAGGAAGAUGGAAUUAGUUGUGUAGGGGUAAAAUCCGUAGAGAUAACUAGGAAUACCAAAAGCGAAGGCAAUCUUCUGGAACACUACUGACGCUGAGGCGCGAAGGCGUGGGGAGCAAACAGGAUUAGAAACCCUAGUAGUCC
rnacentral:rRNA from 1 species